UUGAACGCUGGCGGAAUGCUUUACACAUGCAAGUCGAGCGGCAGCGCGGGGCAACCUGGCGGCGAGCGGCGAACGGGUGAGUAAUGCAUCGGAACAUGUCCAUGUCGUGGGGGAUAGCCCGGCGAAAGCCGGAUUAAUACCGCAUACGCCCGAGAGGGGAAAGUGGGGGACCGCAAGGCCUCACGCGAUUGGGUUGGCCGAUGUCCGAUUAGCUUGUUGGUGAGGUAAAGGCUUACCAAGGCGAUGAUCGGUAGCUGGUCUGAGAGGAUGAUCAGCCACACUGGGACUGAGACACGGCCCAGACUCCUACGGGAGGCAGCAGUGGGGAAUUUUGGACAAUGGGGGCAACCCUGAUCCAGCCAUUCCGCGUGAGUGAAGAAGGCCUUCGGGUUGUAAAGCUCUUUCGGCAGGAACGAAACGGUGGAGGCUAAUACCUUUCAUCAAUGACGGUACCUGAAGAAGAAGCACCGGCUAACUACGU
rnacentral:rRNA from 1 species